UUACCUAGCAGAGGAGAGAGAUACCGCGAGCAGGAAAAAGGUUUUCCAGGGGAAAAUUUAUCAUUUGGACUACAAAUGUGCUUUCUCCUGUAUUUCCCUCAAAUGUAGGUAAUGUGAACCAGUAAUCUGUGGUAGUGGGGAACUGUGUUCAUGCUCUCCUCU
ensembl:snRNA U1 U1 spliceosomal RNA